rnacentral:rRNA from 1 species
UACCUACGGGGCGCAGCAGUGGGGGAUAUUGCACAAUGGGGGGAACCCUGAUGCAGCGACGCCGCGUGGGUGAAGGAGUAUUUCGGUAUGUAAAGCCCUAUCGGCAGGGAAGAAGCAAGACGGUACCUGACUAAGAAGCCCCGGCUAACUACGUGCCAGCAGCCGCGGUAAUACGAAGGGGGCGAGCGUUAUCCGGAUUUACUGGGUGUAAAGGGAGCGUAGACGGCGCGGCAAGUCUGAAGUGAAAGGCAGGGGCUUAACCCCUGAACUGCUUUGGAAACUGCCAUGCUAGAGUGCUGGAGAGG